rnacentral:rRNA from 1 species
UGGGGAAUAUUGGGCAAUGGGGGAAACCCUGACCCAGCAACGCCGCGUGAAGGACGAAGGCCUUCGGGUUGUAAACUUCUUUGAUCAGGGACGAAACAAAUGACGGUACCUGAAGAACAAGCCACGGCUAACUACGUGCCAGCAGCCGCGGUAAUACGUAGGUGGCGAGCGUUAUCCGGAUUUACUGGGUGUAAAGGGCGUGCAGGCGGGUCAUCAAGUCGGGUGUGAAAUAUUCGGGCUUAACCCGGACAGGUCAUCCGAAACUGGAGAUCUUGAGUGCUGGAGAGGAUAGUGGAAUUCCUGGUGUAGCGGUAAAAUGCGUAGAUAUCAGGAGGAACACCAGUGGCGAAGGCGGCUAUCUGGACAGUAACUGACGCUGAGGCGCGAAAGCGUGGGGAGCAAACAG